UACGUAGGGGGCAAGCGUUAUCCGGAUUUACUGGGUGUAAAGGGAGCGUAGACGGCGAUGCAAGUCUGAAGUGAAAGCCCGGGGCUCAACCCCGGGACUGCUUUGGAAACUGUAUGGCUGGAGUGCCGGAGAGGUAGGCGGAAUUCCUAGUGUAGCGGUGAAAUGCGUAGAUAUUAGGAGGAACACCAGUGGCGAAGGCGGCUUACUGGACCGUAACUGACGUUGAGGCUCGAAAGCGUGGGGAGCAAACAGG
rnacentral:rRNA from 1 species